UUUUUUUUUUUUUUUUUUUUUUUUUUUUUUUUUUUUUUUCGCGAA
rnacentral:ribozyme from 1 species